GUGGACGUAACACACCAUGAAGGUUCUUCUGUUAAUCGUCGUGGCAUCUGCCGCCGUGGCCAGCCUCAGUACGGCUACAGUCCCCCUGCCACCUACCGCCCUGCUCCAACCUAUGCUCCCGCUCCCUCUACAGGCCAGCUCCCUCUUAUCAGGCCCCAGCCAAGUACGACUUCGAGUGGGGCGUCAGGGACUCCUACUCCGCCAACCAC